UUAAAACCGGAUUUUUAAAGAUGAUCCUCUUUAGAUUUUGGAGAGUUGAAAUUUUUUGAAAGCGUGAAAUUUUUUUUUAAUAUAUCUGCCAAAACAAUAUUUCUCAGCUGCUAUGACUCAAUUUUAGGAAUUAGAGUAAAUAUAUAUAUAUAUAUAUGUACAUAUGGGGCAUUCUUUGUCAAGCGGGCCACCCGCCGUUCCAAAAUUGUAUUUGACGUAGAAGAACCAUCUUGCACACAAAUUUAGUUACAGGCAAGAGCUAUCAAAAGCCAUGUGCGCUUUUAAAAAAUUCAAAAUGGCGGAGCUAAUAUGGCGGAUAUAAGAGUGCAAAAUGUAAAAUAGUUCAUAGAUUUACUUCAAUUCUGUUUUCUAAGAGUUUUCGAGGAUGCUAAUUACGAAACUGCUGUCAAAUUUUAAAAAUUAAAAAUGGCUGAUUCAAUAUGGCGGAUAUAAAAGUGUAAAAUGUAGAAUAGUUUACACAAUUACUUAAAUCUUGUUUACUGUUCACUGUUGAGAAACAGUGUAGUGUAAAAUAUAAGUCAAAUGUCGCGUCUGGAAUAUGUCUGAAGAGAGAUCGCUUGAUUACACGCGAAAAGACAAUCAAGCAGUAGCGUCACUUCUAAACAAAUGAAUAUCUCGCGCGUCUCCGUCACGGAUAUAGGAAUGUAGAAUUGAAUUUUUCAAAACCGCACAUGCCUUUCGAUAGCUCUUGCCUGUAACUAAAUUUGUGUGCAAGAUGGUUCUUCUACGUCAAAUACAAUUUUGGAACGGCGGCCCGCUUGACAAAGAAUGCCCCAUAUGUACAUAUAUAUAUAUAUUCACUUUAAUUCCUAAAAUUGAGUCAUAGCAGCUGAGAAAUAUUGUUUUGGCAGAUAUAUUUAAAAAAAAUUUCACGCAACUCUCCAAAAUCUAAAGAGGAUCAUCUUUAAAAAUCCGGUUUUAACUAAUUAAUGUUUUCAGAAGGAUUCGUAGUUCGCUUGCUGAUCCGUACAAACGUGCGAUUUCUCUCUCUACACUUUGGCUUAUUAUUCAACUGCUGACUUUGAUACUCAACUAAGUGAAUCGGCUUAUCCAUAUCUUUUUUCUAUCAUAUCUUCUCAAGCUGAAAUUGAAGAUCUGCAAUCUAUUACAUCUAGAUUUUAUGUAUUAAGCGACCGUCUUCGACUUGAGCACAUUUCUCUUAUGUACGCAGUACCACCAUUUUCAAAUCACCACCACGUGGAAAACUUGAGAAAUUAUUCGAAUAAUUUUCAUCAUCUAUAUAUACUAUUCGAGGACGAUUUGAUUUGAGAUGGCAUCAUUAAUUUAAUUAUCUAACUUUCAGGUAUUUUUGCUUCUAACAGUAGCAGUCCUAAUCAUGCAUUCUUAAACCUUACCAGCUUGAAGGCUUUAUCACCCAAUGAGAUCAGAAUUUACACAGAUGGCUCUAGAUCCACUACUGAUGGGAUUUAUAAGGUUGGUAGCUCUAUAUGGAUUCCUUGCCUCGGGCUUACUAUCAAGUUUAAGCUCAAUAAUUUGAUCAGUUCAUUUGCGGCUGAAACCUUUGCUAUUUUAAAGGCCAUUAAUUUCAUAAUUAAUAGUAACUAUGAAUUUGCUAAUAUUUGCACUGACUCUCUUAGUUGUUUGAAUGCUCUUGAAUCGGGAGAUUUUCAACCUUUCCCGCUCUGUAAUUUGGUAAGAGACAUUAAAGUUAAAUUAAACUAUGCAUUGAUCCUCUCUAAAUCCAUUAGAUUUUCAUGGUGCCCUGUUCAUAAGAGAAUUUUAGGCAAUGAGAAGGCUGAUGUAGCAGCCAAAAAAGCGUCGAUUCUCAAUUCUAUUCCAUCUAACAAAGUAGAUUAUAAACAAGCUUUAUUCUCUUAUAGGGAAUCGUAUCUCUUAAUUGAUUUUGCUUUUUUAUCAAGCAUUAAUAUUAAUACGGGUAAUCAAUAUAUGAAUUUUUUAUCUAACAUAAACAUAAACUUUCUGGGUAAAACGAAAUGCAAAUUUAAAAGGAAGGAGAUUGCCUUGCUUAAUAGUUAUUACAGGGUAUCCUUACACUCAAAAUUUUCUAUUUAAGAUCGGUGUGUCAUCAUCUCCUGCUUGUGACUGUGAUUUUGACUCCCAAGAUUUAUUUUGGAUGUGUUUUUUACUUGAAUCACAGAUUAGAGAGCCUUUUGUUAACUUUCUUUUUUCAUUUGGCUUGCAAGCACCUUUUUCGUCUAAUUAUAUAUUAGGUAAUAUCAGCUCAAAUAUCGCUAAGGCCAUCGUUAAAUUUAUUUCAAAUAGUCAACUUAAAAUUUAAUAUCCUUCAACAAAUAUUUUUAGUCGAACUUUAGUCAAAGAAAAAUUGGAAGAUGUCAAAUAUGCUGAAACUAAUUAAUAAUUGGUUCGACAUCCUUAAUACUCAAUCGAAAUUCGGACAGCAUAGUGGCUUACAUGCCUCCGGAGUGGAUCUGGACCAAUAAAAUCGAAUUCUUGAGAAUAUGAACGAAUUUAUUUUAAAAAUAAGAGUAGUCAAUAAAACAUGCCUCAUGCCAUUUCAAAGACAUAUUAUUGACUAAUAACUCACUGAAACAACUUUUAGUGUGCAUUAAAGACAAAUACUCAGAUGAAAAUUUUCAACCACAGUACAUAAUAACCCAAAAACUGUGCCACUAUAUUUUGGGAAACUUUUGUUCCUAUCUAUGAGCAAAUAGCCACCCAUCGCCCAUAGAAUUUAGAAACGGUUUGAAAUGAAUAUUCUUGAUAGACAUUCCGAACACGCUAUUUCUGUGAGAAGAAACAGAUAUUGAUAAUAUCUCAGCCCCACUAUUUGAUUUAAACGAUGUCUAUUCUGAGUCCUUGCAAAUCACAUAGCUUCAAUGAAACGGAAAAGAGUUAGAGGAGGAAGCUGCACUUUUCUUAGGGAACAGCAAUUUUCAAGCAAGCCAAAAAGAGACUAAAAGAGAAAACGAAAAAAGACUUGAUAGUGAUGAUAUUUCGAUUAAAUGCAAAUUCUUUAAAUCUUGGUAAUUUUUGAUAACUAUGUCCCGUUCAAGACUUCAGGGGCAAGUGUGAAAUGGACAAUUUAUUAUUACUAUUAUUAAUAU